ACACAUGCAAGUCGAACGGCAGCACGGGAGCAAUCCUGGUGGCGAGUGGCGAACGGGUGAGUAAUACAUCGGAACGUGCCCAAUCGUGGGGGAUAACGCAGCGAAAGCUGUGCUAAUACCGCAUGAGAUCUACGGAUGAAAGCAGGGGACCGCAAGGCCUUGCGCGAAUGGAGCGGCCGAUGGCAGAUUAGGUAGUUGGUGAGGUAAAGGCUCACCAAGCCUGCGAUCUGUAGCUGGUCUGAGAGGACGACCAGCCACACUGGGACUGAGACACGGCCCAGACUCCUACGGGAGGCAGCAGUGGGGAAUUUUGGACAAUGGGCGCAAGCCUGAUCCAGCCAUGCCGCGUGCAGGAUGAAGGCCUUCGGGUUGUAAACUGCUUUUGUACGGAACGAAAAGGCUUUCUCUAAUAAAGAGGGCUCAUGACGGUACCGUAAGAAUAAGCACCGGCUAACUACGUGCCAGCAGCCGCGGUAAUACGUAGGGUGCAAGCGUUAAUCGGAAUUACUGGGCGUAAAGCGUGCGCAGGCGGUGAUGUAAGACAGUUGUGAAAUCCCCGGGCUCAACCUGGGAACUGCAUCUGUGACUGCAUCGCUGGAGUGCGGCAGAGGGGGAUGGAAUUCCGCGUGUAGCAGUGAAAUGCGUAGAUAUGCGGAGGAACACCGAUGGCGAAGGCAAUCCCCUGGGCCUGCACUGACGCUCAUGCACGAAAGCGUGGGGAGCAAACAGGAUUAGAUACCCUGGUAGUCCACGCCCUAAACGAUGUCAACUGGUUGUUGGGUCUUCACUGACUCAGUAACGAAGCUAACGCGUGAAGUUGACCGCCUGGGGAGUACUGCCG
rnacentral:rRNA from 1 species